AAUUUUACAGGGGGCUACAAACUUUCAGCAAUAGCAAAAAAUCUACAAGGCCAAGCACCUAUUUCUUUGUGAUAUUUUGCAUGCAUAGGGAGUUGCUAAAGUAGUGACAGAGUUUUUGUAGACCGUAUAUUUGCAGGUUGUGUAGUUUGGGAUCAGAUUUAUCAGACAUAUUGCUUGUAGGACAUUGACGGCAGAAACUUGAAAUUUAGUGUGGAGUGCUACCUUAAGGUAAAAUGAAAUUUUUUCAAUGCUUGUUUUUUCUCAUUAAACUUUGUGUAAAUACUCUAGAAUACACACUGACUACAAUGAUGAUGAAAUUUCAUAAUAAUAUUAAACACAGUGCCAGAAAGUCAGCUUUAAAAAGGGGAGGUAACUCAAAUUCCAGAAAUUCUUUGUGAAAUGUAUUAAAGGUGCUGUGUCUGCUGUGUUGAUUACACCUACUUAUUCUAGGAGAUACAGCUUUAGAAGAAUGCUAAUUUUCACAUAUAGAGCUAUGAAGGUUAAAUUAGAUGUUGUUUUCCUGCUUUU